ACUCAAAGGAAUUGACGGGGGCCCGCACAAGCGGCGGAGCGUGCGGUUUAAUUCGACGCAACGCGCAGAACCUUACCAGGGCUUGACAUGCGACUGCAGAGCGGUGAAAGCCGAAGUCCUUCGAGGGUGUCGCACAGGUGCUGCAUGGCUGUCGUCAGCUCGUGUCGUGAGAUGUUGGGUUAAGUCCCGCAACGAGCGCAACCCCCGUGGCCAGUUACGUGGGUGUCUGGCCAGACUGCCGGUAGCAAGCCGGAGGAAGGCGGGGAUGAUGUCAAGUCAGCAUGGCCCUUACGUCCUGGGCUACACGCACGCUACAAUGGGGCGGACAGAGGGUAGCCAAGCCGCGAGGUGGAGCGAAUCCCAAAAACCGCUUCUCAGUUCAGAUUGUGGGCUGCAACUCGCCCGCAUGAAGGCGGAGUCGCUAGUAACCGCAGGUCAGCAGUACUGCGGUGAAUACGUUCCCGGGCCUUGCACACACCGCCCGU
rnacentral:rRNA from 1 species